rnacentral:rRNA from 1 species
UACGUAGGGACCAAGCGUUGUUCGGAUUUACUGGGCGUAAAGGGCGCGUAGGCGGCAAUUCAAGUCAUCUGUGAAAUCUCCGGGCUUAACUCGGAACGGUCAGAUGAUACUGCUUUGCUAGAGUGCGGAAGGGGCAAUCGGAAUUCUUGGUGUAGCGGUGAAAUGCGUAGAUAUCAAGAGGAACACCUGAGGUGAAGACGGGUUGCUGGGCCGACACUGACGCUGAUAGCGCGAAAGCCAGGGGAGCAAAACGGG